UAAGGAAUUGGCUUAUAAAGUUGUGGGUUCUGGCAAGUUUGAAAUCUGCAGGAUGGAAUGGCAGGCUGGAGACCCAGGGAUUGAGUUGAUGCUGCAGUCCCACAUCUCAAGGCAAUAUACUAGCAGAAUUCCUUCUUCUUGGGGCCCUUACUUUUUUCUUUAAGGCCUUCAACUCAUUGGAUGGAACUUGUUACAGAAGGUAAUCUGCCUUACUCAGAGUCUGUUGAUUUAAAUGCUAAUCAUAAUAUCUGGAUUGGCGCUUGAUCAAAAACAAGGGUACCAUGAUCAAGCCAAUUUAACACAUAAAAUCAACCAUAAGAGGAACAAUAAAGAGAUGUGAGUUUAUUUACUAAUUUUAAGUUCAUGUAGUAUUAUUUAGAUGACCUUGGCCAGGAAAGUUGCAUUUAUUAUUCAGUAUUAUAGCAAGUCGCCAUGAAGCAAGAAAAAAACAAUUGAUUAUGACAAAUAAGAGAGAGGCCCUACAGAAAACAAUUAGAAACAUAAUCAAAUGUGUUUGAUAACUUCAAAUUCAUUGUUACUGCUUAUAUAAAGAAAGUUCACUCUCACAGAGCGUUUGUUACAUAAAAGAAUUAAGCCAAGCUCAUGUAAACCAAGAGCUGUGGGAGAAAAACAAAAAGAAUGUGUACAUCAGCAAUUUAAUUUAAGCUUAAAAGAUUUUUACUAUCAAGAUUUUAUCUUGAUUUAAAUAUCAAGAUUUAUUUUAUCUUGAUUUAAAUAUAAAGAUUUAAAUCAAAUUAAAAGAUUUUAAUCAAGUAUUUGAAAACCUGAAGAUAUAAUAUUUCUUUGCCCAGGACAAGAUGUCCUAUUCAUAGUGCAGACGAAAACGAUAUAAAAAGAGGGAAAGGAAAAAGUGGUCCCUAGUAUGUGUUGAUCUAGAUUAAUAGUUGCAGUGUGCAAUGUUGUAAAUUUAACUUUUCUUGCUGUUUGUGCACUAAAGUGUACUCAAUUGGCCCAAAAGAAUUAAUGCAACUUCUAAAAGUAGGCCAACUAAUUUAUAGGCAAUAGCUUACAUACCAGGAAAACUGGAUCAAUAAAGUAAUGUUAUAUUUAUUUCCAAGAAACCUAGUAAUAUUUUUCUCAUUGAAAAGUGAGCAGGAAUGAAGUCAAUCAUAAAGUGCUUUUUUUCUGACAGUGGAAUGAGCACAAGAAAACACCUCUGAUGAAGGUGUAUGAAUCACUGACCAGGAAGGCGAGGAGGAAGAGAAGGAACAUGCACAUGGCAGGAGAAAUCUGAUAAAUCUUUCUCAACCUGGCAGAAGGAGAAUGUAAAGAUCUAGGAAAUGGGUCAAAAUUAAGGCCAACACCAAGAAGGAAAAAAAAAAAACAAAACAGUCCUGACAUUAUCAUUACUGGAAUCCCAUCCAUCCUCAUUUUUAUUCAUUCAUGUAUCAAUCUUCUGUUUAUUCAGCUGUAAUUUAUGGAGCACACACCAGGUGCCAGAGCCUGAUCUGGGAACUGAGGCUAUCUGGGAACAGGCCUAGUCUACACUGUUCUUGCCUGCCCGGUGUUCUCUGGAGGCUGCUGGCACACAAGUUCCUACAGAGGCUGAUGGCUGUUUAAGUUUCUCUGCUAAGUGUGUUUGCCAGGCCUGUGCAUGUGCUCAGAGAUGUGAUAACACCUCUGACAGGCUCCUUCACCAGUGGGUCCCAGAAGAUGUUUGGUAAAUGCCCCAGUCUCCUUACAGUUGGAGGACUGAGGCCCAUUUUGCCUCCCAGUGUUGACCUGCUCAUUGAGGCUUUCUUUAUUGGUUUUCCUCCCUUCCCUGUCUCUCUUCCCUGUUCCCUCCCUUCCAGUGUUGCCUGGGCUUACCUCCCCAUUACUAAAUAUUUUUCAAUUUUGAGGGUAAACCAAACUAAGACAGGGAAAAAGGCAGACAUGAUCCCUUCUUGUGGAACUUAUGACUUGGGAGAGAGGGCAAUAAAAAAGUGAAAGAAAUUUUAUUAUUGUCAGAACCUAAAGAAGGUAAUAACCAGGACUAUUGAGGAGUUAGAGGAGAGUGGGCCUUGUCUGGGUGCGCUUGGAGGGCCUCAGUGAGGAGGUGACUUAUGAGCUGAGGCCUGAGAGGAAGGAGCCAGGUAUGUAAAGAGAUGAAGGGAAAAUCCCAUUCCCAUGAAGCUCUUCUCUCACUACCAUCCCAGGGUCCUAGUGACAUUUAAUUCUCUUCCAGAGUUGUUCCCCCAUCCCCACAGAGUCCAAAUAUAUUUGGUUGUGACACCACUCCUGGUUCUGGAAUGUGCUCUAUGUCCACUGAGAAGGAAGGGGGUCCGCAGAGCAGCAUGGGAUUUAUUGCUUUGGGACCAGGCACCACAGGACUUUGGGUUAGGUUUGGGGUACUUGGCCUCCCCAAGAUCACGGCCUGAAUCCUUGGCUCUGUGGUAAAUGGCCUUUGCUGAGAUCUAAGCCCCUUCUCUGGAUCCAUCCUUUUCCGUCCUGCACAGCCAGGAGGGCCUCACGCCCACCCCUGAUCAAAGGACAGACGACUGGUGUGGAAGAGGGGAGAAUCCGUGGCCAGCUACUGGGACUUUCUCUCUCCCUUUCUGCUGGCCACAGCCCCAUGAGGCUGCCACUCUGGGCUGCUUUGGAUGAGGCAGAAAAGCACGUGAAGCCAGAGCAAAGGGGUUUUCGGAUACCAGGUUUUUCCUUUAUUCCUUCCAUCAGAGGGGAAGGUGAGUCAGGUUCUCACCUGUGUAAAUUCUGGGGCAUUACACAGGUAUUGUGAUUACCUCGUGGUUAAUAAUGUAUGUUGGGAAAGAGGGUAAGAAUAGUCCACUGAAUUUGGUAAUAAAGGCGUCAUUUUCUAAGGAAACAUUGCUGACUUCUUUAUAAAAUCCCAUCCUAUCCUGCAAUGACUGUGGUGGAGGACAGAAGCGGGGGGUAUCCCCCUUUUUAGCCUGCAGUGGGCCAUCUCGCUCCUGCACGCACACCAGCCGUUUACAGCAUCCGGGUCCUGCAACAACGCCGAAGUCCUCUGCGCAGACCCGACUCCUCAGUUUGUGCAACCGCUGCUGCCUCUCUGUCCCCUUCAGAGUUCCUGUUUCCGGUGUAGAGACAGGGACUUGCUUGUUCCCCGGUGACUGGCAGCCUCUGCCUGGAGGCUUGGUCUCACCAGAACAGCUCGCAGAGCGCAGCGUACUUAGCUCCGUGUUCCCGAAGGUUGCUCGGGCCAUGUCUGCACCAGGCAUUACAACAUGUGGUGCCAGAAAGGAACUCUGGAUUUGUACACGAUGAUUCCAUCCUCAUCUGUGUUUCUUGACACGUUUGGACAGGAGUCUGGCAGCCCAAGGUGAAGGAACAUUGAGUGGUCACGACUCCAGCUUUGUGCCAUUGCGCCCAGCUUUCAUCAAUCACAGCUUCAGACACUGGACCAAACAAGAUGCCAGAAAAAAAUCUGAGUGAGAAUUAUUUUUGGGGCAUAUCUUUACAAUUCUUCAGGUUGUCAUUUAUCAUAUUCUAGUCUGAGUGGGGGUGAGUUUGGACUCACAUAAAAAAAUAAAACAUAAAAAAAUGUAGAGUGGAGUUAUGGACAGGCAUACCCUGAAGACACAGCAAUGGAGGGAUAUAAAUGUGCUCCACUAGCCAGAUGUUGUGGUCUCUGACAAGGAAAUGUUGUGGGUUCAAAUUUCAGCCUCCUUAGCUUCACAGCUUAGCUCUUGUUCAUCUCCCUUGUUAAAAAUUUCUCCCUCGUUAAAAGAUUCAUGUG